rnacentral:rRNA from 1 species
AUUGAACGCUGGCGGCGUGCCUAAUACAUGCAAGUCGAACGCAGUGGGGAUGGGUGAGUAACACGUGGGUAACCUCCCAUCAGAGGGGAUAACACUUGGAAACAGGUGCUAAACCGAUACUGAUGUAUGGACUCGCGGUGCAUUAGCUAGUUGGUGGGGUAACGGCUCACCAAGGCCACGAUGCAUCGCCGGCCUGAGAGGAUGAUCGGCCACACUGGGACUGGGACACGGCCCAGACUCCUACGGGAGGCAGCAGUAGGGAAUCUUCGACAAUGGACGAAAGUCUGACGCAGCAACGCCGCGUGUAUGAAGAAGGUCUUCGGAUCGUAAAGCUCUGUUGUUGGAGAAGCGGUAGCUAACCAGGAAGCCACGGCUAACUACGUGCCAGCAGCCGCGGUAAUAC